AUAUUUUUAAAUGUUAAUUCUAAUUAGUAUAGAAUUUAUUUUUAGUGUUCUCAAACACACAGACUUUACCUGUUGGUCGUUGCUAUUGCUUAAAAAAAUAGCAAACACUACAAUAAAGACCUGCUACAUAGGCAAAUUCAAAGUAUGAGUGUUUGUUUAGGAUAAGCUUGGUCAGAACAGUGUAGGAAAUAACCUGUGGUAGCUUUCCACAGUUUUCUAAAAUGUCAGGUAAUAAUGUCUUGAACCAGCUUUCUCAUAACUUGCUUUCUUCAACUCAUUCUCCUUUUAGUUAGAAGCUUUAAAAUAACAAGUACCAUCUUUGUAGGCAACAGCAUUUCCUCUGACUGCCUACACCAUAGGGUCAUGCCAUGACUACCUGAAAUUCCCCUAAAUUUCAGAAAACAGUGACUUAAUUCUUAACUCACUUGAGCUGGACUUAAUGUUACAGAUUUCCUGUGUGGCAAGAUAAUUAUUAAGUGAAACAACAAUAGGAACUAUUCAGUGGGAAAGACGAGCUGUCUCUCAUUCACAGAAAGUAAAUACUGAAGUAAGCUGGAUUUUGACGUUCUUUACAUUGCGAAGUUGAUCAAAGGAGUCUGCAUAAGGAUUUCAGAGGAUUCAUUCUAUUGCCUCUGAAAGUGAACUGUUGUAUGACUUCUUUACUCACUGUUUGAAUAGUUUAUGUGCAAGUUCACUGUUUCCCUGGAGGAUAUAUUUUAGCAAGAUGAAAUUUUAAAGUGUUUUCUAGGCUUGUUUAGAAUUAUACUGUUGAUUCCAGCUUUACAUUCUGGAACCAUCUGAAACUUGACUACUUCUUCUUUUACUUGACUACACUUUAUAUACCUCAAAACAACUGCCCUGGCUCACCUUUUUAUUUGUUAGCUAUUCUUCAUGAAGACUCUUCAAAGUGCCAUUUUGAGUUUUUUUUGCUUGAACCUUAAUUAAUGACUCAGAUAGGAGCUAAAUACAAAGCAAAAUUACCAACUCUUCAUCUUCGUUUCUUUUUACUUAUGUAUGUGUGGCCAAUAUUAAGUAAAGACAGACAAAUAUAUAAUUUUAUCUUUUCUCUUCCCUCUACUUGCAGAUUUGUUAUUUGAAAUAUAAAUGCAGGACUUUGACAAUAUGCUUAAUAGUUCUUUGCAGAAGCCUGUAGUUUAAUAGCUCUUUGAAGAAACCUGUAGUUAUUUGACUGUCGAUGUCAGAAGACAACCUUGGAACUGUUUGGGAAAGAUUGGCCUUCUUGGAGUUGGUAACCUUGUUGGAGUGUGUCGGUCUCACAUUCUCUCACCUCAUGGUUGUGUCUCAAAAUGUAAGUUCUCGGCUUCUGCUUUACACCUGCCCACCCACCUGCUGCCAUGCUCCCUACCGUAAGAGUUAUGGACUCUCAUUCUCUUAAACAUGUGUGUGUCAGAGAGAGAGAGAGAGAGAGAGACAGGGAGAGAGAACAUGUGUGUAGUAAUGAUAGGAUAACUUUCUUUCUACUGUGUGAAUCCCAGGGAUCAAACUCAGGCUGUGACAGCAUCUUUCCUGCAAGCCAUCUUGGAGGCCCACUAGCAUUUAUUCUUGUUCUGUUGCAUUUUUCUAAGUUUGCUUCAUAAUUUUAGGUCAGGGUGGUUCCCAUAUGCUGCUUUUCCCACUAAUAUAUAUCAGGUUAGUUUUUAUUCCCUUAGCCUUAUGGCUUUCACAGGUUUAAAUGGCUUCUGUCAGUUCCUUGUAUCAAGCUUAUUAGUAAAAUGUUGAGCAAAGUAAGCCUACAGUUAAAGCCCUGAGGCAACUAAUAAUGACCUGUGACUGGAGUCUGUGUUCAUGCUAAGUUUGGGUUUCUCUUUUGUUUAUUGUUUACAGUGAGAGGGUAUCAAGGGGGUCACUUUUCAGAUUUCCUGAUAGCCAGAUACUCAGUGAAGCAUUCUUUAAGAACAUAGUUCUAAUAACCCUACUUUUAAAAAUUAGACUUUGAUUUAUUUAUAUGAUAAACUUAUAGGCUCUGAAGGAUUAAGGUAUCUCAUUGUUUGUACUUGAAGAAAUCUUCCCCUUUGAAAAUGAGAACUUUAAAAUACGUUUGGUGGCUGUAACAUGGCUUUAGUGGGCUUAAAUUAUGUUUUAACAAAGUAGAGGUGGGAAGGCUAAAUUUUAAAAGGUUUUUAAUAUAAACUUCUUAUGAAGAGAAACCCUGGGUCCUCACAAAUAAUUGAGAAAAAACAGCUAGCACAGUUUUGAUGAGAGUUUUAAGAGACAGGCUACAAAUAAAACAAUAGCAAACCCUCUAAUGUUUUGGAAGGAGAAGCUAAAGGAAGGUGGCAAGUACAUAUCAACUGAAGUGAGACAGAAACUCUUAAUUUUUCUCAGAAAAUCAGCGUGGAACCUAAUGUUUUAAAGAAUUAACUUGGGUAAGACAGAAUCUGUGCUUUUACAUGGUGCCUGUCUUCUAUGACCAAAGAAGAUACAAUUUGUACUCAUUUACGUAGUCAUGCACUGCUACACGGAGCUGGUUUGUGUUUUGUUUGGGGUUUUUUUUUCUCUUGUACAAUUCCUAACCCCUUGUAAAUAGACCCUGCCAAGAAUUAAUUUUCUCCUUGUGACUCAUUUAUGUUUCAGGUUAUAUUUUUAUGACUAAUGAGAAAGCAAACAGUGCUGUGGCUAGUUCAGGCUGUCACAGAAGUGUUACACUCUAUUAACCUGCAAGACUUUCUUAUAUGACUUCUGUAUUUAGAGAGUAAGAGUACUAUUAAUUUAUUAAAAAUUACAUGUUUAAUACAUUGCCCAGAAUGAUGACCAAAACAAGAACAUACUGUAUACUUAAAGCUUGGUAGAAAUAUAGGUUUUAAAUGUUUUACUUUAUAAAAUAGGUUUAUGAAGUAAAUUUAUUAGUUGGCUUAAUUUAAUCAUUCCACAGCAUAAACAUACCAAAACAUGAUACACACACACAUACACAUAUAUGGACAUGUGUGUAUGUGUACACAUAGUCAUUCUUGUCAUUUAGAAAAAGUUAACUAGAUAUUUGCUUGUCUCAUACCAUACAUUAUAGAAUUAUAGAUAACAAAUAAUACUGACAUUGUUCAGGAAAUUAAAGUAUAAAUAUUUGUUAGGAAACAUUUUUCUGUCUUGGAUUAAUUUUUAUUUUUAAAAAAAUGUAGUCUGUGUGUCCACGAUAUGUAUAUAUGAAUAUGGGCGCCAUGGUACACCUGUGUAGGCAGAGGACAGUUUUGUGCAGUCCUUUCAUCUUUACAUGUUUUCAGGAGUGCAAACUCAGGUUGCCAGGUUUUCCUACUGAAUUGUCUUGCCAGCCUUCUACCAACCUCUGGUAAUCAUAAUUUAUAAAAUUCUUAAAUAGUAUUUGAAGUCAUAUGACAAUUUAAUUUUCAAAUGAAAUAAUUAGUUUGGUCUUAUCAAAAAUUAAAUGACUGACAGAAUAGUUUUAUUGAUUAGCUAAUAAGAUCAACAAUGGUUUGGCAUAGGUCAUUAAGUAAUACAGUUCGACCCAAAUUUUUGAUUGGUGUCAUUUGGUCUUGAAUUGAGUUAGGCAAGCACAGUUACUGAGAUCAGCACAAAUAUUUCUUUAGUGAAACCUGAAAAUGUCUCACGUUCAUUCACUCAGCACAUCUUGUGUAGUGCCUCUUACAUACUUGCUUUUGUGAUUAUAAGUCAAAGGUCCUUGCCCUUUUAUGUCUUGUAUUAUAAUUGGUAAUCAAUAACAU